AAGUAUUAAAGGUCCCGCCUGCCCAGUGAAACUUUCAACGGCCGCGGUAUUCUAACCGUGCAAAGGUAGCGUAAUCACUUGUCUUCUAAAUAAAGACCAGUAUGAACGGCUAAAUGAGGACAAGCCUGUCUCUUAUAACUAAUCAGUGAAACUGAUCUUCCAGUACAAAAGCUGGAAUAAAAACAUAAGACGAGAAGACCCCGUGGAGCUUAAAACAAAGCACUAACUAAUUAAAGUCCUAGUACCCUGUUUUAAGUUGGGGCGACUUCGGAAUAAAACAAAACUUCCGAGCACAGAACCACCAGUUCCUACCAAGGCCAACAAGCCUAAGCAUAAGACUGACCCGGCCCCCGCCGAUCAACGAACCAAGUUACCCCGGGGAUAACAGCGCUAUCUUCUUCAAGAGUCCCUAUCAACAAGAAGGUUUACGACCUCGAUGUUGGAUCAGGACACCCAAAUGGUGCAGCCGCUAUUAAAGGUUCGUUUGUUCAACGAUUAACAGUCCU
rnacentral:rRNA from 1 species